rnacentral:misc_RNA from 1 species
AACCUUAUGGACCUGCGGGCGUAUACCUGCGGAAGGAUCAUUACCGAGUUUACAAACUCCCAACCCUAUGUGAACCUACCUAUCGUUGCUUCGGCGGGCUUAGCCCCCGCGCCCUCGCCGGCGCCGGGAAACAGGCGCCCGCCGGAGACCCAAACUCAAUGUUUUUCAUGCAGUAUUAUUCUGAGUGGCAAACGCAAAAAUAAAUCAAAACUUUCAACAAUGGAUCUCAGAUCGGAAGAG